AUCUCCAAAAAAAUAUAUUUAAUAAAAAUAAAAAAGAGAGAGAAAUACUGGCAAUCAUAUAUUUCAGGGUAAAUUCAUCUGAUCUGUAAAUCGAGAAAAUGGUAAAAUAAAAAAAGCUUUGGCUCCAAUGUUUUCCCACUUAAAAUCAGUUACUUAUCAGUAUCACCUCACUUUCACUGCGUCUCACAUUCUCACAGGCUGCAGCACACUCAUAUUAACCUCAAUUGUCAGUUUCUCAAAGAUUUGUCGAUUAGGGAUUAAAUUUGCUCACUUGUCUGCGGCGUCUCUCAUUCUAAAUCCGAUUCUGGCUCCCUCAAUUUAUACAAGAAGCAUCUGUUGAUCUAUUAAUUUAUAGUGGUUAUCUCAUCCUAUAUAUCAAGGUAUUAACAAAAAAGUAAGGAAAGGGAAGAAGAAAAAGAAGGCAACAAGUAAAACGAAGAAUGUGAUGACAUUGAUCAAAUGGAAUUUAUUUUAGAUUCUCCAUCGUUAUUCCUCGUUUGGACAUUAUUUUUUUCUUCUAUUUAUUAGCUAGACUAAUAGUAUACUCAUCAAGAUGGAUUUGGUAUUGAAAAUUAGUUGUUAUUACUUUUGAUUAUAUAUUCACUAUUUUUAUUGGUUUGGGAUUAUCUAUUCAAAUGCUUAUUAUUUACUUGUCUUUUGUACUUAACAUUUCUCUACUCUAAUAACUUCACAAGAAUGCAACGAUAUCUUUCCACUCCUUCAACUUAUUAUAGCAAUAUAUAAAUAAUUACAAUAGAAAAAAGUAAUCAAUUUAUUUUAGUUUGUUCAAUUUGUAGGUAAC